rnacentral:lncRNA from 1 species
AGUCAGGACACUUGCACCCCUUGGAUGCUUCUGCUCCUCCAGAGCAAGGAUGUAGACAAAGCAACCUGCUUCUCAAAGAAAAGUACACAAACGUUGAAAGGGAAGCCGUGACUGUUUCCUUGACCAAGAAUAUCAGCUACAGUUUCCUGAAGCCACGUAGAUACUCUACACCUCAAAAGAAAAAAGAUCCUCAGGCAGGCAGUGAUCUUGCCAUGCUUCUCCCAGGGACAACACAGGACACAAACAUCAUUUUACCCAGGAAGAAAGGGAUGCUCUUAAAGCCUGCCUGCAGCCCCGCCGCGUUCCCCAGCUCAGCCGCCUCCGGGAGCAGCCCCAUGGCCUGCGCAGACNNNNNNNNNNNNNNNNNNNNNNNNNNNNNNNNNNNNNNNNNNNNNNNNNNUGGUUUGUAUCCUAUUUCCCGGGGGGGGGGGGGCUGGCUUACACCAGCCCGGUGGGGAGGCUGCCCUGUGUUGCUCUUGUUUCCCUUCGCUGCCAAGGAAGCGUUUUUUGAAAUAAUGCCUGUCUCUGCCUGCAGGAAAGGGGGAAAGAAAAGAGACUGGGAGGAAGAGAACGCCCUCUGCUUCGUCCCCCAAAUCCAGCUGAGCAGGGCAACUGGUAAGGCCAGCGCCUCACACCCACCGAGCCCAGUGCACACCCCAUGGUGUGCUGUUGACCCAGCGUGUUGGCACAGGACUGGCAGCGUGGAUUUGGGCAAUUCAUGGUAUUGGCGCAGUGCCGCUGGUCAAGGGUGGCCUGGAGGAAAAUCCAGUUUCCCUCCAGAAAGUAUGUUAUGUUUGUACUGAGCAGCUCCACAGGUUGCUCAGUUAAAGUAAUGAGGUAAUGUCAAAGGGUGGGAAACAGGAUUUUUGGUUUCGUGGGCCUGUGGCUUGCUCCACGCGCUGGCCCUCUUAAAAGUGCAUUUCCUGGUCGAGGUUUGACACAGCAUAGCCUAUCAGUGUUGGUGUCAAAGCACUACUAGAUAAACCUGUUGGAGGAAUACCUGCUCUUCCACAUGAGGGAGGGAAGGAUGCCAGCUGGAAUUUGCUUCUCUGCUUUAGGGUUUUAAAUAAACAGCCCAUCUGGCAGCUUCUUGUAAAGAAA